CACAGUUCUAGCGCAAGGACGAAAACAAAUAUUUUUCCCUCGCCUAGAAUACUUCUCGAUAACAAAGAAAAGCAGCUGCUAGAUGAGUACCAUGAAAUCUUUCCGUGAAUGCAACAACAUUCUGUACCCUAGAGAAGACAGAGACCAAAAAAUCCUCCUUUACGCUUUCCGCAACUGUGAUCAGUGAUCACCAGCAAGUGGCUGAUAAUAACUGUGUGUACUGAAAGAGGUGCAUCACUCAGUAGCAGAGAAAACUCAGGUAUUACAUGUAGCUGCUGACCCUACUCUUCCUCGCACUAAAGCUGUUACUUGCACUGUCUGCAAACAUCCUGAAGCUGUCUUCUUCCAGGCAACUUCUAGGACGCUGUUUUUUGUGUGCUGCAACCCGAAUUGUUGCCACAGGUGGAGAGACUGAGAUUUAUCUGUCCAUCAAUCAAAGCUCUAAUUAGGACAUUUAGAAAUGCUUUCAAGACUGAUAUAGACUAUAUCAUAUAGUUAGAUCCCAUGCACGGGUUCUUUAUCUGCUGAUUUUGUGGAGGUUUUUGCGAUCAUUUUGUAUACUUUCAUAGUAGUAAUAGUCAACGCGGAAGGAUUUUAUAUCAUCAUUGAGAAACCAAAUUUAGGGGCCAGACUUUAUCGGUUACAACCACUUCAGUAUGAUGCAAUUCAGACUACGAAAAAGAAAAGGUCUGAUGUUUCUAGGCCUCCCUAAUAAUGCCCAAACUCCCGAUGGUUCCUUUUCAUUUAGAGCUACAGGCGCCAU